rnacentral:lncRNA from 1 species
AUAAGUUUUAUUUUAUAUAUAUAUAUGAUAUGUAUACAUAUAUUUUUUAUUUUAUAUAUUCAUUUAUUUUUAUUUUUAUUUUUUGGGACAGAGUCUCACUCUGUCACCCAGGCUGGAGUGCAGUGGGGCAAUCUUGGCUCACUGCAACCUCCGCCUUCUGGGUUCAAGCAAUUCUCCUACCUCAGCCUCCCAAGUAGCUGGGACUACAGGCGCCCACCACCAUGCCUGGCUAAUUUUUAUAUUUUUAGUAGAGAUGGGAUUUCACCAUGUUGGCCAGGAUGGUCUUGAUCUCCUGACCACGUGAUCCGCCCACCUUGGCCUCCCAAAGUGCUGGGAUUACAGGCGUGAGCCACCAUGCCCGGCCAGGUUUUAUUAUAUAUUUGCCACUCAUGCUGGCAAAUCAGCAAUAAGACAUUUCUGCGAAGCAAACCAAAUGACUUUAUUCCUAAAUUGUUUAUUUCUUGAACUAUUUGUGCUUCAUUUCUGCCUGCUAGAACAUAAAGUCUUCAAAAACAGGGACUAACCCUUCCUUCUACCCACCAGUAAACAUCACUGAGUACCACUCUGACGCCAUACCCUGUGCUCCCUGCCCUUGAAGGAACCAGAUAUUGGGAUGUGGGGACACUGAUAAACAGGCAGUUAGCAGAAAGUGUGGCACAUACUCUAUUAGAGAAAUACCUGGUGUUAUAUGCUGAUUUGGGAACCCAAAUCAGAUUGCAAGUACAGCUAACAAGCCUCCCAAGGGAAGUCCUCCAUAAUGCUGACACAAGGUCUGGCACACAAUUGGUGCUGAAUAAAUGGAUGGUCAGUACCACGGUGAAGAAUGGAAUGAGGACAGGAGCACUGGCUCAUGCCAGUAGUCCCAGCAUUUUGGGAAGUCGGGGGGGCAGAUCACUUGAGGUCAGGUAUUCAAGACCAGCCUGGCCAACAGGGCAAAACCCAGCUCUACUAAAUACACAAAAAUUAGCUGGGCGUGGUGGCGGGUGCUUGUAACCCCAGCUACUCGGGAGGCUGAAGCAGGAGAAUCGCUAGAACCCAGGAGGUGGAGGUUGCAGUGAGCUGAGAUCACACCACUGCACUCCAGCCUGGGCACUCCAGCCUGGGCAACAGAGUGAGGCUCUGUCUCAAAAAAAAAAAAAAAAAAGAAAGAAAAGAAAGAAAAAUACAAAACUCAGCUGGGCAUGGUAGCACAUAGCUGUAAUCCCAGUUACUUGGAAAGAUGACUCGGGAAAAUCGCUUGAACCCGGAGGUGGAGAUUGCAGUGAGCCGAGAUUGCACCACUGCACUCCAGCUUGGGUGACAGAGUUAAGACUCUCGUUAAAAAAAAAAAAAAAAGAAUGUAAUGAGAUAUUAUUAAACAUAUCCAGUAACUUCUCCACCUUCUACAGGUAAUUACUGAAAACUAGGAGGUAUACCUCACUUAUCAAUCUGGAAACCAGACCACUGUCCCAUUCUACAGACCAGAGAGCUAUACCCACUGAGAGGUGGAAGAGAGGAACAAUAAAGAUCAAAAAAGAAAUAAAAUGUCAGUCUUCAAAUGGAAGAUAACCUGGCAAGAUGCACUUUGGGCAAUCUGAAAUAAAUCAGAUAUAAACACAGUCAUUAUUUUAAAUAUUCUUCCAUUCUGACUUAUGUUUAGCAUUUGUGCUUCAAUAUGUAAACAGUUGAAAGAAAGAAAUUGUCAAAACAUGGAUAAAAUUUAUUUUUAAUAUCCUCUGUAUUCUAUAACAUAUAGAAUGCAAAUUUUUAUUUAAAAGAUAUUUGCAAUCCCCUUUUACUGAUAACCUAACUGAGGUAUCUUUUUUUUUUUUUUUUUUUUUUUUGAGAUGGAGUCUUGCUCUGUCGCCCAGGUUAGAAUGCAGUGGCACGAUCUCGGCUCACUGCAAGCUCCGCCUCCCAGGUUCAAGUGAUUCUCCUGUCUCAGCCUCCUGACUACUGGGAAGGCUGAGGCAGGAGAAUCGCUUGAACCCGGGAGGCGGAGGUUGCAUGAGCUGAGAUCAUGCCACUGCACUCCCGCCUGGGCGACAGAGCAAGACUCCGUC